CAGUAGAAACAAAGAAACAGGAAGUUGUCAAGGAACAGAAGAAAGAAAGACAUUUGGAAAGACGUAGAUGAAGAAGACUAUAUUACCACAGAAAAUCUGGACGAAAAGAUUGCAGAAGCAUUGGAAAAUCCGAAGGAUUACAACUUUGCACUCACUUGAUCAGGUGAAGUGUUGACUGCAGAACCAAGAAAACACGACUUAUUGCCAGUACAAGGAUGGUAAUAUUGAUGUUUUGAUUACUAAUUUAUUCUGUAUCUAGACUUGUGUGAUCAGUAGCUAUAACAUUUAUAUUUACAUUUUGUGAUGUUGAAA